rnacentral:rRNA from 1 species
UGUGAUCUCAAACUUGAACGCACUUGUGGUCCCGGUAUUCCUGGGAGCAUGUCUGUUAGAGUGUCAGAAAAACGUANUCAUCCAAGUUUUCUUGGUUGGUGUUUGGUGAGUGCGGUGCCUACCCGGCACGGCCUCACUGGAGUGGCUCUUUCUUGCGAAUCACUCUGCUAAUGAGUUGAUUCUUCCCCCAUGGUGUUUGGCUCGUGCGAGAUGCAAAUCCGGCCAGGCUGGGCGGUGUGGUUGGAGGUUGUGGAAACUAUUCCUCUAUCCAAUUACUGCCACUGUUCUCAUUGGGGAGGAAUUAGCUCUGGAGUGGUUUAUUUGGCAAUUGAUCCCUGCAAUGAAGGCCGCUAUAACACCCUGUGUGGUAUGUGCUGUGCCGCCAUUGCCUACCAUCUGAUCUCUACUCAGACAAGAGGACCCGCUGAAUUUAAGCAUAUAACUAAGCGGAGGAAAAGAAGCCAAUUAGGAUCCCCCCAGUAAGGGCGACUGAAGCGGGAUUAGCUCACAGUGUGAAUUGGUGCUGCUUAGCACUGAAUUGUGGUCUGUGGACAUGGGCAUUCGUAGUGCCAGGCCAAGUUUCUUGGAAAAGAACAGCUGAGAGGGUGAUACUCCCGUCUGCCUGGCCAACAAGCCCGUGUCAAAGAGUCGAGUUGUUUGGGAUUGCAGCUCUAAGCGGGUGGUAAAUUCCAUCUAAAGCUAAAUAUUGGUGGGAGACCGACAGCGCACAAGUACCGUGAGGGAAAGAUGCAAAGGACUUUGAAAAGAGAGUUAAAGAGUACCUGAAAUUGCUGAAACGG